GAUGAACGCUGGCGGCGUGCCUAAUACAUGCAAGUCGAGCGAACAGACGAGGAGCUUGCUCCUCUGACGUUAGCGGCGGACGGGUGAGUAACACGUGGAUAACCUACCUAUAAGACUGGGAUAACUUCGGGAAACCGGAGCUAAUACCGGAUAAUAUAUUGAACCGCAUGGUUCAAUAGUGAAAGACGGUUUUGCUGUCACUUAUAGAUGGAUCCGCGCCGCAUUAGCUAGUUGGUAAGGUAACGGCUUACCAAGGCAAGGAUGCGUAGCCGACCGGAGAGGGUGGUCGGCGACACGGGAGGUGAGACGGGGUCCAGACUCCUGCGGGAGGCCGCAGUAGGGAAUCGUACGCAAUGGGGGAGAGCCUGACGGAGCGACGGGGGGUGAGGGAUGAAGGUGUUCGGAUCGGGAAACUCUGUUAUUAGGGGAAAACAAAUGUGUAAGUAACUGUGCAGGUCUUGACGGUACCGGGUCAGGAAGCCACGGCUAACUACGUG
rnacentral:rRNA from 1 species